AAUGUUGCAAAAUUAGGGGAUGAGCUGUAGGUAGAGGUGAUAUGCCAAACGAACUCGGAUAUAGCUGGUUCUCUCCGAAAUAACUUUAGGGUUAGCGUCAUGUGUUUAGUAUCGGAGGUAGAGCACUGGAUGAGCUAGAGGGCUUACUGCUUAUCGAACUCAACCAAACUCCGAAUGCCGAUACUCCAAAACAUGGCAGUCGGACUCCGGGAGAUGAGUUUCGGGGUCGAAAGGGAAACAGCCCAGAUCAUCAGCUAAGGUCCCUAAAUCCAAGCUAAGUGGGAAACGAUGUGGGGUUACUUAAACAACCAGGAGGUUGGCUCAGAAGCAGCCACCCUUUAAUGAGUGCGUAAUAGCUCACUGGUCAAGUGAUCCUGCGCGGAAAACUUAACGGGGCUAAGCUUGGUACCGAAGCUAUGGGUCUCAGCAUUAGCUGGGGCGGUAGGGGAGCGUUCCGCUUGCAGUGAAGGUCGACCGUAAGGACGGCUGGAGCGGGCGGAAGUGAGAAUGCAGGCAUGAGUAGCGUACAAACACGUGAGAACCGUGUUCGCCGUAAAUCUAAGGUUUCCGACGCCAGGUCAUUCCGCGUCGGGUUAGUCGGGUCCUUAGCCGAGGCCGAGAGGCGUAGGUGAUGGACAUCCGGUCAACAUUCCGGAACCGUCUGGAAGGAGCGAUGAGGGGACGCAACGAGGUAGGCCAGCCAGCGAUUGGUUGUGCUGGUUCGAUCCGUUUAGGUGUUGAGGCUUGUAGGAAAAUCCGCAAGCUGAGCUGAGGCGAUAGCGAGCCCUUGAGGCGUAAGUGGUUGAGCCUUGUUGCCGAGAAAAGCCUCUAAGCAUUGAUUUCCAGAUGCCCGUACCGCAAUCCGACACCGGUAGAUGGGUAGAGUAUACCAAGGCGAACGGGAGAACCUUCGUUAAGGAACUAGGCAAAUUAACCCCGUAACUUCGGGAUAAGGGGUGCCCUUUGGCGUGUAUGCGCUGGAGGGUCGCAGUGAAAUGGUUCUAGUGACUGGUUAACAAAACCACAGGUCUCUGCUAAGCCGUAAGGCGAUGUAUAGGGGCUGACGCGUGCCCAGUGCCGGAAGGUUAAAGGGAGAGGUUAGACGCAAGUCGAAGCUUUGAACUGAAGCCCCGGUGAACGGCGGCCGUAACUAUAACGGUCCUAAGGUAGCGAAAUUCCUUGUCGGGUAAGUUCCGACCCGCACGAAUGGUGUAACAACUGGAGCACUGUCUCGACGAAGGACCCGGCGAAAUUGAAAUGGCUGUGAAGAUGCGGCCUACCCGCAGCAGGACAAAAAGACCCCGUGGAGCUUUACUGCAUCUUGGCAUUGAGUUAGGAUACAAUCUGUGUAGGAUAGGUGGGAGGCUUUGAAGCUGGAGCGCUAGCUUCGGUGGAGCCAAUGGUGAAAUACCACCCUGAUUAUGUUUUGACCCUAACCCCACACCAUUAUCUGGGUGGGAGACAGUGCCAGGUGGGCAGUUUGACUGGGGCGGUCGCCUCCUAAAAGGUAACGGAGGCGCCCAAAGGUUCCCUCAGCCUGG
rnacentral:rRNA from 1 species